rnacentral:rRNA from 1 species
GUGCAGCAGGCGAGAAUACUUUACAAUGUGCGAAAGCACGAUAAGGGAACUCUGAGUGCCUCCGUAAGGAGGCUGUUCAGGUGUCUAAAAAGCACCUGGAGUAAGGGCUGGGUAAGACCGGUGCCAGCCGCCGCGGUAACACCGGGCAGCCCAGGUGGUAGCCACUUUUAUUGGGUCUAAAGCGUCCGUAGCCGGUUGAGUAAGUUCCUUGGGAAAUUUGGCUGCUCAACAGUCAAGCUUCCAGGGAAUACUGCUCGACUUGGGACUGGGAGAGGUCAGAGGUACUCCAGGGGUAGGGGUGAAGGUCCA